rnacentral:lncRNA from 1 species
UGUCAUGCUUGUUUUAACCGCUGUGGCUGUGAGGUUCUGCGAAAUGGCUCUCCCCAUCUCCAUGGACCCCCAGGGCCCAAGAAUGCCCUAAAAAAGAAUCUUAAAACUUCUCCAGAGAGAGCACACUCUGUAUGAUCCCAUCACAUUAAAUUCAAGAACGGAGGCAUCUGUGUAUGGGGAAAGAAGUCAGUAUUGUGAUGACCUUCUGCGGGGGUGUGGCAAAGAAAAUUAGAGAAAAAGGGACGUGCUUAAGCCUGUUCACAGCAGCACUAUCCACAAUUGCCCCAGCUGGAAACGGUUCAAGGGACUGAGAAACGAUGGGGUAUAUUCACGGAAGGCAGUCCCCGGCCACACCAGGGCAGGCCAGCUACAGCACCCGCAGCAAGCUGAACCAGGCACAAAAGAAGACAAACUGGGUGACUCCAUUCCUAUAAAAGUCAAAGCCUAACAAGAUGACGUUGGAUCCUGGUUGCUCGUGAGGGCUACUGACUAGAAGAGGACCCCAGGGACUUCGUGCCUUCUGGUAAUGUUCUGGUUCGUAGUCUGGGUUCACUGCUAUGUUCACUUUGGGGAAAAUGCACUGAGCUGUACCCUUCGCCUUUGAUAUGUUUCUGUAAGUUGCUAAACUUCAAUAAAAU